AGCCUACCUGGGAGGCCUAUAUAAGCCUCGGUCACACAAACUGGCUCAGUUUUUCCGGGUCACGCCGUCUCCGUAUAAUUUCCCUGCGCUAGUCUCCUUCAGACAGAGAUAAUCAUGCUGCAAAGUACAUAUUGUAUCCUGAUCUUGUGCCUGUUUGUGAUCAUCUGCCUAUCUGAGGUCCAUUCAAUGUACUACGGACGCAAUCCGUAUUUCCGUGGGUAUCCCCGCCGGCCCUGGGGAUACCCGGAAUGGGAUUCGGAUGGACCAGAUUUCGACAUGUGGGAUUAAUCGUGGCCUUUAUACAAUGCCAACAAAGAUAGCGGCGACUUAAAAUGAGGGUAGCAUGUUUUAAUAAAACACAUAGCCUAAUCACCUGAUCACCAUAACAACAAAACAAACAUAGCAAAGAGGCAUUGCUACGGUUUACGUUGAACACAAAAAAUAAAUGAAUAAAACACA